UACGGAGGGUGCAAGCGUUAUCCGGAUUCACUGGGCUUAAAGGGUGCGUAGGUGGUCAGGCAAGUCAGUGGUGAAAUCUCCGGGCUUAACUCGGAAACUGCCAUUGAUACUAUCUGUCUUGAAUACCGUGGAGGUCAGCGGAAUAUGUCAUGUAGCGGUGAAAUGCUUAGAUAUGACAUAGAACACCAAUUGCGAAGGCAGCUGGCUACACGAAUAUUGACACUGAUGCACGAAAGCGUGGGGAUCAAACAGG
rnacentral:rRNA from 1 species